rnacentral:rRNA from 1 species
GACGAACGCUGGCGGCGUGCUUAACACAUGCAAGUCGAACGGAAAGGCCCUGCUUUUGUGGGGUGCUCGAGUGGCGAACGGGUGAGUAACACGUGAGUAACCUGCCCUUGACUUUGGGAUAACUUCAGGAAACUGGGGCUAAUACCGGAUAGGAGCUCCUGCUGCAUGGUGGGGGUUGGAAAGUUUCGGCGGUUGGGGAUGGACUCGCGGCUUAUCAGCUUGUUGGUGGGGUAGUGGCUUACCAAGGCUUUGACUGGUAGCCGGCCUGUGAGGGUGACCGGCCACAUUGGGACUGAGAUACGGCCCAGACUCCUACGGGAGGCAGCAGUGGGGAAUAUUGCACACUGGGCGGAAGCCUGAUGCAGCAACGCCGCGUGCGGGAUGACGGCCUUCGGGUUGUAAACCGCUUUCGCCUGUGACGAAGCGUGAGUGACGGUAAUGGGUAAAGAAGCACCGGCUAACUACGUG